rnacentral:rRNA from 1 species
GACGAACGCUGGCGGCGGGCUUAACACAUGCAAGUCGAACGGAAAGGCCCUGCUUUUGUGUGGUGCUCGAGUGGCGAACGGGUGAGUAACACGUGAGUAACCUGCCCUUGACUUUGGGAUAACUUCAGGCGACUGGGGCUAAUACCGGAUAGGAGCUCCUGCUGCAUGGUGGGGGUUGGAAAGUUUCGGCGGUUGGGGAUGGACGCGCGGGUUAUCAGCUUGUUGGGGGGGUAGUGGCUUACCCAGGCUUUGGCGGGUAGCCGGCCUGAGAGGGUGACCGGGCACAAUGGGACUGAGAUACGCCGCAGACUCCUACGGGAGGCAGCAGUGGGGAAUAUUGCACAGUGGGCGGAAGCCUGAUGCAGCAACGCCGCGUGCGGGAUGACGGCUUUCGGGUUGUAAACCGCUUUAGCCUGUGACGAAGCGUGAGUGACGGUAAUGGGUAAAGAAGCACCGGCUAACUACGUG